UGCUGCCUUACAGAAAGAUGUUCCAUGGAGAGCUUCUUCUGGUGCAAAACCCAUCCCUAAAAUUCAUUAUUCCCCUAUUCUUCGUAUACCUCAAAACCCUCUUUCCGAUUAUGCUCUCUCUAUCAUGAAGCAUCCAGAUCCAAUUGGAAGUGGAUUGGGGACGGAGGCAAUAGUAGAAGCAGCAGGGCCUGAUUGCAUUGUUCCUGGACAAAAUCCACCUAUCAAGCUUUUGGGGCUUAAGGUAUGGCCCAUUGAAGUCGACUUGAAAUUUAUGGAACCUGUUGGACGA
rnacentral:misc_RNA from 1 species